rnacentral:miRNA from 1 species
AGCUCAGCGUGUGUCGUACUGAUA